AGUGAACGCUGGCGGUAUGCCUAACACAUGCAAGUCGAACGGCAGCACAGUAAGCGUUCUCUCUUACGGGUGGCGACUGACGGGUGGGUAAGGCAUACAUCGGAAUCUACUAUUUCGGGGGUGAUAACGUAGGGCAACUUACACUAAUACCGCAUACAUCCAACGGGUGAAAGCAGUGGUGCUUGGGGGCUUUGCCGUUACUAUUAGCCGAUGCCGCAUUAGCUAGUUGGGUGGGUAAAGGCCCACCAAGGCGACGAUCCGUAGCUGGCCUGAGAGGAUGAUCAGCCACACUGGAACUGAGACACGGUCCAGACUCCUACGGGAGGCAGCAGUGGGGAAUAUUGGACAAUGGGCGCAAGCCUGAUCCAGCCACACCGCGUGAGUGAAGAAGGCCUUCGGGUUGUAAAGCCCUUUUGUUGGGAAAGAAAAGCAGCAGGUUAAUACACCGCUGUUCUGACGGUACCCAAAGAAUAAGCACCGGCUAACUUCGUG
rnacentral:rRNA from 1 species